rnacentral:rRNA from 1 species
GACGAACGCUGGCGGCGUGCUUAACACAUGCAAGUCGAACGGAAAGGCCCUGCUUUUGUGGGGUGCUCGAGUGGCGAACGGGUGAGUAACACGUGAGUAACCUGCCCUUGACUUUGGGAUAACUUCAGGAAACUGGGGCUAAUACCGGAUAGGAGCUCCUGCUGCAUGGUGGGGGUUGGAAAGUUUAGGCGGUUGGGGAUGGACGCGCGGCUUAUCAGCGUGUUGGUGGGGUAGUGGCGUAGCAAGGCUUUGACGGGUAGCCGGCCUGGGAGGGUGGCCGGCCACAUUGGGACUGAGAUACGGCCCAGACUCCUACGGGAGGCAACAGUGGGGAAUAUUGCACAAUGGGCGGAAGCCUGAUGCAGCAACGCCGCGUGCGGGAUGACGGCCUUCGGGUUGUAAACCGCUUUCGCCUGUGAUGAAGCGUGAGUGACGGUAAUGGGUAAAGAAGCGCCGGCUAACUACGUG